rnacentral:rRNA from 1 species
CAGCCGCCGCGGUAAUACGAAGGGUGCAAGCGUUACUCGGAAUUACUGGGCGUAAAGCGUGUGUAGGUGGUUGUUUAAGUCUGUCGUGAAAGCCCUGGGCUCAACCUGGGAAUUGCGAUGGAUACUGGGCGACUAGAGUGCGGUAGAGGAUAGUGGAAUUUCCGGUGUAGCAGUGAAAUGCGUAGAGAUCGGAAGGAACAUCUGUGGCGAAGGCGACUAUCUGGGCCAACACUGACACUGAGACACGAAAGCGUGGGGAGCAAACAGGAUUAGAUACCCCAGUAGUCCCUGUCUCUUAUAC